AGGAUUAACGCUGGCGGCGUGCAUGAAACAUGCAAGUCGAGCGCGGUGUGAUGAGGGGUAACCCGAUUCACAUCUAGCGGCGAACGGGUGAGUAACACGUGAGCAACCUACCUUUGAGUUGGGGAUAGCCCUGGGAAACCAGGAUUAAUACCCGAUGUGGUCACAACAGGACAUCCUGAUGUGAGUAAAGGCGUAAGCCGCUCAAUGACGGGCUCGCGGCCUAUUAGCUUGUUGGUGGGGUAACGGCCUACCAAGGCGAUGAUGGGUAGCUGGUCUGAGAGGACGAUCAGCCACACUGGGACUGAGACACGGCCCAGACUCCUACGGGAGGCAGCAGUUAGGAAUUUUCCGCAAUGGGCGAAAGCCUGACGGAGCAACGCCGCGUGAGUGAUGAAGACCUUCGGGUUGUAAAGCUCUGUCGGAGGGAAGAAUGUCCUCGGUGCUAACAGUGCUGAGGAGUGACGGUACCACUAGAACAAGACACGGCUAACUCG
rnacentral:rRNA from 1 species